rnacentral:rRNA from 1 species
UACAGAGGGUGCGAGCGUUAAUCGGAAUUACUGGGCGUAAAGCGUGCGUAGACGGUUAUUUAAGUCGGGUGUGAAAGCCCCGGGCUCAACCUGGGAAUUGCAUUCUAGACUGAAUAGCUAGGGUACGGUAGAGGGAAGUGGAAUUUCCGGUGUAGCGGUGAAAUGCGUAGAUAUCGGAAGGAACAUCAGUGGCGAAAGCGACUUCCUGGACCAGUACCGACGUUCAGGCACGAAAGCGUGGGGAGCAAACAGG